rnacentral:rRNA from 1 species
GCUGGCGGCAGGCCUAACACAUGCAAGUCGAGCGCGCCUUCGGGCGAGCGGCGGACGGGUUAGUAACGCGUGGGAACGUGCCCAGAUCUACGGAAUAGCCACUGGAAACGGAGAGUAAUACCUUGUACGCCCUUUGGGGGAAAGAUUUAUCGGAGAAGGAUUAGCCCGCGUUAGAUUAGGUAGUUGGUGGGGUAAUGGCCUACCAAGCCUACGAUCUAUAGCUGGUUUGAGAGGAUGAUCAGCAACACUGGGACUGAGACACGGCCCAGACUCCUACGGGAGGCAGCAGUGGGGAAUCUUGGACAAUGGGGGCAACCCUGAUCCAGCCAUGCCGCGUGAGUGAAGAAGGCCCUAGGGUCGUAAAACUCUUUCGCCUGUGAUGAUAAUGACAGUAGCAGGUAAAGAAACCCCGGCUAACUCCGUGCCAGCAGCCGCGGUAAUACGGAGGGGGUUAGCGUUGUUCGGAAUUACUGGGCGUAAAGCGCACGUAGGCGGAUUAGAAAGUUAGAGGUGAAAUCCCGGGGCUCAACCCCGGAACUGCCUUUAAAACUACUAGUCUAGAGUUCGAGAGAGGUGAGUGGAAUUCCGAGUGUAGAGGUGAAAUUCGUAGAUAUUCGGAGGAACACCAGUGGCGAAGGCGGCUCACUGGCUCGAUACUGACGCUGAGGUGCGAAAGUGUGGGGAGCAAACAGGAU